rnacentral:rRNA from 1 species
AUUGAACGCUGGCGGCAGGCCUAACACAUGCAAGUCGAGCGGACGAAGGGAGCUUGCUCCUGGAUUCAGCGGCGGACGGGUGAGUAAUGCCUAGGAAUCUGCCCGGCAGUGGGGGAUAACGUCCGGAAACGGGCGCUAAUACCGCAUACGUCCUGAGGGAGAAAGUGGGGGAUCUUCGGACCUCACGCUAUCAGAUGAGCCUAGGUCGGAUUAGCUAGUUGGUGGGGUAAAGGCCUACCAAGGCGACGAUCCGUAACUGGUCUGAGAGGAUGAUCAGUCACACUGGAACUGAGACACGGUCCAGACUCCUACGGGAGGCAGCAGUGGGGAAUAUUGGACAAUGGGCGAAAGCCUGAUCCAGCCAUGCCGCGUGUGUGAAGAAGGUCUUCGGAUUGUAAAGCACUUUAAGUUGGGAGGAAGGGCAGUAAGUUAAUACCUUGCUGUUUUGACGUUACCAACAGAAUAAGCACCGGCUAACUUCGUG